GGAUGUGAGGGCAAUCUGGCUGCGACAUCUGUCACCCCAUUGAUUGCCAGGAUUGAUUCGGCUGAUCUGGCUGGCUAGGCGGGCAUUCCCUUCUUCCUUCACCACUCCAAGUGCAUCCCUAUCGAAGCUGCAUGCUGGGUGGAAGAGGAUGAUGUCUCAGGUAUAGAAGGAGUGUACCAAGGUCUCCAGUCUUCGGUCCUGAGCAUACAAUAGCUGUGUUCCCCUGCUAGAACCUCCAACUCGUUCAAUUUUACUCUGUAAUGUAAAUCUAUAUAAACAUCAGCACAUUGGUCUGGGGGACAAUUUUCAAGCUUUCCAUAGAU
rnacentral:snRNA from 1 species